UAAAUGCUAUAGCUCCUUCACCAUAAAUAAAAUUUAAUUCAACAUCGAGGUCGUAACCUUAAUUUUUAAUAAGAACUCAUAAACUAAAUAACGCUGUUAUCCCUAGAGUAAUUUCCUUAAUUUUAACUUAUUAACUAAAAAUUUAUCUCUUCAAUUAUUGCCCCAAUAAAAAAUUAUAAUAUAUAUUUAAAACUUCUAGGGUCUUCUCGUCCUAAGGAUUUAUAAAAGCUUUUUUACUUUUAAAUUAAAUUCAAAUUCAUUUUAAAAAAUUUUCCCUUUGGUAUCAACCUUUCAUUCCAGCCCUCAAUUAAAAAG
rnacentral:rRNA from 1 species